rnacentral:rRNA from 1 species
AUUGAACGCUGGCGGCAUGCCUUACACAUGCAAGUCGAACGGUAGAGGGGGGCAACCCCUUCGAGAGUGGCGAACGGGUGAGUAAUGCAUCGGAACGUGCCCAGUCGUGGGGGAUAGCCCGGGGAAACCCGGAUUAAUACCGCAUACGACCUGAGGGUGAAAGCGGGGGACUCGCAAGGGCCUCGCGCGAUUGGAGCGGCCGAUGUCGGAUUAGGGAGUUGGUGGGGUAAAGGCCUACCAAGCCUGCGAUCCGUAGCUGGUCUGAGAGGACGACCAGCCACACUGGGACUGGGACACGGCCCAGACUCCUACGGGAGGCAGCAGUGGGGAAUUUUGGACGAUGGGGGCAACCCUGAUCCAGCCAUGCCGCGUGCGGGAAGAAGGCCUUCGGGUUGUAAACCGCUUUUGUCAGGGAAGAAAUGUCCUGGGCUAAUACCCUGGGGGGAUGACGGUACCUGAAGAAUAAGCACCGGCUAACUACGUGCCAGCCGCCGCAGUAA